rnacentral:lncRNA from 1 species
GAUAUCCUAGGAGAUGAUGAACAGACCGGGUUCAUAGGGAACUCUACCGUAAACGUUGUCUCAUACCGGACGGGGUAUGGAGAUGGCCUGCUUUACCCUCAUACCGGACGAGGUAUUGAGGUUUAAUGUCUUGGCACUCAUACCGGACAGGAUAUGGGGACGGUCCUAGAAUUAAAAUUGUUAAUGGAAAGGGUUCAGGUAUAGCGGAGACACGCCUAUGGAUACCCAUGGAUACUAGUAUGCUGGUGAAAUGAGAAACGGUAAUGAUUAAUUAUUGUUAAUGAAUAUGAAUUUAUGAUAUGUUCUAUAUUACUGAUUGUGCAUGAAGUUAUGAUCUGUAUAAUGUUAUUGUCUUUAUAGGUUGUUUUCGCAGGUU